UUAUUUUCUAGUGAAAUCUGAAACACAAACAUUGCAUACUGUAUUUCCUAGUCACAAAAUAUUCUGUAAUUUGGUCUUUACAAUUAAAUUCAAGAUUUGAUUUUGUUCUCCUUCUUAGGGUCUAAUUGCAUAUGAACAUUAUAUACUGUACCUAUGACUGCUCUGCAGACCAGCAUCUCCCCAAAGGCCAUCUUCUAGCCAGAGCCCCACCAGCACAACUGCUGGGCCAGUGGGGUGGUUAGCAUACGCACAAGGAUGCGUCUUGUGUUGGCAGAUGAGUUGGGACCCCCCAUUGUUGCCAGAUACACUGUAAAUUAAAUCUAACAAUCAUUUUAACUUAUUUCUUUAUGUUGACUUUACUUAAUGUGGAGUUGUUUACCUUACUAAUGUAUAUGUAGUAAUCCUUACUAUUUGCCUUCAAAAGUCUUAUUUACUUAAAUAUCUCUAGUUACUGUAAUAUGAUUUGUUUGAGUGCCAUUUUUCCAUUCUACUAUCAUUUUAGCUUAUAGUUGGAAGAUCCCGACCUUUAAGAACCUACAUGGGCUAAUCCAAACACAAAAUCUCUAACUUAAAUAAAUAAAUAAACAAAUAAAUAAAUAAAUAAAAGUCAGUAGAGGAACGAUAUGAAAUAUGAAUGAGAAUGAUAAGAAUAUGUGCUUAGUUAAAAAAAAAUAAAAAAAUGAGUAUUUUUAAAACGGGAAUUCAUCAUGCAUGUUAUCAAUGUUCAAGAUUCACACUAGAUCAUUUGAAACCAGAACAAGCAAUGUUAAAAUGAUUAAAAGCGUUUUAAAUAUCAUUAGGAGUAAUGGCGUCAUACAAUACAGAAAAAAAUAUGUAAUUUCUAAACUUCGUCGUCAUUGUACACCAGGACAAUAGGUGGCUAAAUGCGCAAAUAAAAAAAAAUCGGCGAGCAAGAAGCGAAGAAGAAGAAGAGCGAUUUUAAUUGGAUGAAAAGUUUUGCACUGCGGGGGGUAACAGCCGUUAGAGAAAGGGCUCGUGUAUCGCAGCAAUUUCGCUUGUAAAAAGACGUUUCUGUCAGCAUUUCAUCAGCAAAGAAGUAAAGAAAUCGAACGGAGGAAAAUAACCAGCGAAACUGUGACUUCGGGAACAUUUUGGAAUCCAAUGCCGUCUGUUUGGCCGUGUAAGUAUUGCUCAUAUCAUAUUUUACUGAAGCACCACAGAUUUAAUCAUGGAAAAUAUACUCGUAUAUCGCCAGUCCCGUGCUUGUACACUGACUGUUUGUGCACAUUUUAUGGCGUGUUCUAAGAUGCCUAAUCAUGUUAGUGGUGUUAAAAUGCCGUUGCUUGCUUCCACCUCGAGGGAUUUCAUCACGACAUACAUUGCAAACGGCUAACUUUACGUCUUUAUCGGACACUUUGAAAAACUUCCAGACGGGAGAACUCAUGUUGCCACUGGUAAACUCCGCUCUGCUGUUGUUUACCUGUGCGCCGUGCAUGCACGUGUGAAAAAGUCGCGCGAGUAAUAUACGUCAAGUGAUCGGCUUUUUUGAUAGGCGCUUUUGGGGUUCGCCGAUCAAGCUAUUUUUAGCCAAUAUCGGCUGAUCAUGAUCGGUGGCCAAUCAAUUGGAGCAUCACUAUUUGUAAGACCAGUGUGGUCAAGGAGCAUGGUUAUGGCAAAAUUCUCCAUCCUCUCAUCCAAGAUCUUGUAACACUUGAGGAGCAGGGCCUUAUACCUGCAACAGCUUGGAGCAAGCAUGUAUUGUUUGUAGCAGCAGACAAUUUGGCAGCUCAUUCUCUUGCAGGUUUUUAUGAGAGUUUUACAGCUAAUCAUAUGUGCAGAUUCUGCAUGGCCACCAGGGAUGAACUGUAGGUCAGUGAAGUACAGUCUGGUUUCUCCCAGCUCCGAACAAAAGUGACUCAUUACAAGCACGUAGAAGAUGUUAGGUCUAGCUGCAUACUUAGUGAGAAUCUGAAACAUUUUCAUGUAGUGGAUGGUUUCCCAUCAGAUAUCUUACACGAUCUUUUAGAAUUUUGUGCCUUUUGAAUUAUCACCAUGUUUUCAGAAGCUAAUUGACCAAAAAUACUUUUCUUUGGAGUCUUUGAAUAAGGCGAUCCUAUUCAUAAUGUGUAUUUCCUUACACAUUUACAGACAAAACAGACCGGCCUCAGAUUAUAACCAAGAGUCACACAGCAAAGUCAACAAUUUUAGGCAAUGCCCAUGAAAAUUGGACUCUUCUUAGAUUACUUCCUUUUUUGAUUGGACACAAUGUUCCUGAAGGUGACCUGUUCUGGGAGCUGAUCAUGACUGUUAAACAUGUUGAUGAACUAGCCACAUCUCCAAGAUUUUCAGAAGACUCAUUGGCCUUUUUUGAAAUGAAGAUCUCAGAACAUCGCCAUUUGUUUCAGACAUUGUUUCCCUCUACAAGACUUCGGCCCAAACAUCACUACCUGGAGCAUUAUCCCAAACUAAUUCGAACUUUUGGACCAUUAAUAGAUGUUUGGACCAUGCGCUUUGAGGGGAAACACAAAUUCUUUAAAAAAAUUGUCCAUGCAACACAAAACUUCAAAAAUGUGUGUCUCACACUGGCAGUAAGACACCAAAGAAUGAUGGGUUUCCACGUAGCUUCUCCAUCUUUUUUCAAACCACCAGUGGAAAUUCAAAAAUUGAAAGCUGCUGCUGUUUCUUCAUUCCCUGACAAUGUGCAGCAGUCCCUCUUUCAGAUGAACGGUCAGCAAAACACUGCUUUGGGAGCAUCUUCAGUAUGUUUGGAUGGGAUUAAGUAUGUACCAGAUAUGAUUGUUUCAGCUGGCUCGUGCUCCGGUCUCCCAGAAUUCAGACAGAUUACAAAACUUGUAGUUAUUAACACUCAUGUUGUGUUUGUCUGCAGGCAAUUGAACACUUAAGGUCCUAUGAGCUUUGUGGCAGUCAUUUAAGUCCCCAUUCAGUCACUGAACUGUCUGAAUUGAAUGAUGUUUUCCCUCUCUCAGCUUUCCGAGCCAGAGGAAAACUUUUUGUCACAUUAAAACACGAAAUACUGCAAAAGUUGGCAGAGUGCAUGUACUCAUAUAAAGCAUACUCUACUGAUGAAGAUUUUGCUGAAGUUGCCACAGCCCUUAUCAACAAGCAUCCGUGUCUUUGAGAGCAAGGAUCAUCAACAGGGUACGGAGGGUGGAAAAAUAGUCUCAAAUUUAAGAUGGGCAAUUACCGGUCAAAACACCGUAAAGCUGGAUGCCUUGAUGUUUCUGUUAAUGGAGGAAGAAGGGGCAAGUACUCUCCUGAAGGACAGCCUCCAAAACAAAAUAUUAAAAAACCACGAGGAGAUGAAAGAAAUUACCUUCCUGAUUUCCCUUUGGGAAAGGAUAAAAUAUCUCUUGAAAAAGAUAGGGAACUGCUUGUUGAAGAAAUGCGAAAAAGAUUGCCAAACAAGACCUUAGUCGCCCAAAAGAUGGACUAAACAUUUCCUUUACGAAGAAAAGAAAUCGUGGAAACUGAGCCACCGAUUAAAACAAUGAUGGAACGCUGGCCAGCACUUUUUACUGAGCGUGAGGUUUUUGCAGAAUAUACUCGGAUUGCCUGCAAGAAUCUUCAGAGUGAAUUCUUUGGUGAACUUGACAGACACACACCCCGUCUAAUGAAGAUUUUUCGGUCUAAAACUGGAACCUUGGGUCAGACCUUAUCAAAAUUACUAGAGCAAGUUGAGUCAAGAAGAAACACCAAUCAAACAUUAGAUCAGGAAACGGAAGUUACAAUUCGACACACUAUGGUUCUUCAUGGUAUCCCUGUCCUUCUUGGGGACAACCUGUCAUAAUCCACUCCGUUCGAUCCCGAUGUGAGCCACGCCCACCUCGUUACCUCGUGUGAUUCCCUGAUUGUUCUCACCUGUGAUUCGUUCUCCGUAGCCUGUCUCUAGUACUU